ensembl:lincRNA Gm29125 predicted gene 29125
AGUCGAUUCUUUCUACUCUCCAGAUGUUACAAAUAAUACAGCCAAAACAGUUUACAAGUGCGACAAAGGACAUCAAGAGCACCAGAAGGAGGGCGUCAGAAAGCCUCUGGGGACAGGAAUCUCCCUGCGUUGCAGACACUUCUCCAAGAACUGCUUGAGACGUAUGAAAGAGCCCAUCUGUCCUGAGCUCGUGAUGGCCUCAAUUCUGGGCAAGUAGUCCUCUUGGAUGAAAAGUAUCAUCUUCCAGAACUGGACCUGGUUCUGCUUCAUGAGGACGUUCCCACACACCUCCAAAAAGUCAAACAGGAGAGUGGCUGUUACACCUGAGAGAGGCUCCAUGUUUAAGAUCUGUGCCAACCAGCGCCAGCCAUGAUUUAAGCCAUGAGGAUGAACCUCCUGCCGGUUUGCAUAUGGCCACUGGAGCUGGAUGAUGGCGGCAUACAAACGGAUCAUCCCAGACAUGCGUUUCAGAAAGCUUUCCUGCCGCUCAACCUUGGAAUCCACAACUUGAUAGCCAAGCAUCCGUUGAUAAUCCUCCAAAGCCAUCCCUUCCUUGAAAGCUGGGUAGAAAGGAACGGAGUAUGGACACUUCUUGUGGAGAUGAGCAAGAAUGAGGUCUCCCACUUUGGGGUGGAGCAUCCAGAUACCAGAAGCCACCGCCGCAAUGGGGAAUGCCGCUUCGUGGUGAGAGGCCACUUCCUUCUCCCCUUGUUUCACAAAUUUCUCUGCCAGUUUGUACUGGACAAAGUCCAGCCCCUGAGGGUUAAGAGUGACAGACACGGAACGCCCUCCAGAUUGGACAGGCUUUCCCGAGAGCAGACUGUGGAGCUUAUCAAAGACCUCCUUCAGCUUUGAACCUGAGAUGCCGGAGAUCUGGCUCACUGGAAUGGUGGCUGCCUUCCGCAAAUCCGUCCUUAUCUUUUUCGUCUGACUGUCCUUGCUGCUGGUCAGGUCCUCAAAGGCCAACACACAUUUGGCGGAAGCAUCCUGAAGUUGCUGGUACCACUGCAGUGUACUAUCUUGUACCUUCCCCUGCAGGUCUUCAUUCUGCGAACCUGUUGGGCUUGGGCUGGGUGCAGAGCUCUGGGUGGGAACUCCUGGCCCCUGCUGCAUCUGUGACUCCUGCCGCUUGACUUGGGCCUCUUCCUCCUCGUUCUUCUUCUUCACUUCAGAGGCUCUGGUGAUCUCCUGCUCCAAACUCAAGAGGAGGUCCUGCAUUUCCUGCAGGGCCAGCUCGGCCUCAGCUUGGUUCUCGGCCGUGGGAAUGCCACUCUCCAAAGUGCUGCAAAUGAUGCCGGAGAUGACGCUACACAGCUGGUUGCCCUGGGUCUGGAAGGCAGCCAGGUCCACAUUCAGCAGGUCUUUGUGUUGACUGGAGGCAUCCAGCUGCUGAUUGAGCUGCAGGACCUCCUCUUGCAGGGUGUACAGGCUGCGCAGACGGGCCUGGCCUUCCUCCUUUCGAAGCUGCUCCUGCUCUGCCUGCUUCUCACGCUGCCGCUGCUCUGCACCUUCCACUUUGAUCGCUGGAGAGGACUGAAGUGCAAUAGGUUCUGUGAACCGGGAGUCAUGUGUGUUCUGGGUUCCAUUCGAUGUUGAGGGUGAGAGUGAUUGUAGGGUACUUCUGACAGGAGACUUGAGUAGUGAGGAUUGGUACAGGCCUGAAGCAGAUCCAGAGGAUGAUGGGUUAUCCGAGGAAGGACCAUUCUCUUGAGUGUGGCGUAAGGUGUUGGGUAGAAUGUGAUCUACCACCCAUCCAGAGUAAGAAGAUAGUUUGGGGAGAGAUCUGCAUUCUUCCAAAACAUCCUGGUUGUAGUGCAGACGGCCUUUGCUGGAGUUGCGGAGCGCCUUCAGGGUUUCCCAGCUGUGACCAUCGGACGGCCUUGACCUGGGGAGCACCAUCUUCUCUGAAGGAGGACUAAGACACGAGAGAAAGAGGAUUCUUUCUUUCUGAGAUAGGGUUUUUCUGUGUAUUCGCAGCUACACUGGGACUCUUUCUAGACCAGGUUGGCCUAGAUCAGAUAUCUGCUUUCCUCUACCUCCCUAGUGUAAGGCAGCAAGGAGAGACUACUGUGUCUCACCCUGGGCAGAGCUUGAGUAUAUAUACAUUUCCCCAAAGCCCCGCCUCCACAGUGACACACCUCUAAUCCAACAAGGCCACACCUCCCCAUAGAACCACACCCUACUCCAAGCAUAAUUCAAUCACCACACCAAACAAACAAACAAACAAACAAACAAAAGAAUAAUCCUUACCGAAUACUGGGUUUCUAAGGUAAUGAGACACAAAAAAGAGGCUACAGAACACAAUGUUAAAAUAAUGAAUGUGAGAAAUCAAAAGGCAUAGACCAAAACCUGGGAUGUAGGAUUGAAAGAAAGGGAUGGAUAUGUGUUCUUACAGUCACGUCUCAUUUUUCAUGAAGGCAUAUCAUUUGAGUUGCUUGUACCAUGAUGAUCCCUCAUUGUCCUAUGGUUAUAUAGAGAACAGCAAUUUUACUACAACACAAUUAAGAAAGUAGACCUAUAAAACUGAUUCGGUGUCACAGUGCGUAAAGGUUCUUGCUGCCAAACUACCUGAGUACAGUCUCAGAUAGAUGGAGAAAUCAGACUCUCUCAGGUUAUUUUCUGACCUUCACACGGGUGUUGUGGUAGUUUUACACAUACACACACUCACACACACAAACAAACCCCCAUACACUCAUACACUACAUAUAACAAAAUGUGUAACUUCAUUUUAUAUAUAUAUAUAUAUAUGUGUGUGUGUGUGUGUGUGUGUGUGUGUUUUGUCUGCAUGUAUAUCUGUAGCACAUGCAUUCCUAGUGCCCUGAGGAGGCUAGAGAGGGCAUUGGACCCACUGGGUACUAGAGUAGCAGGUGUUUCUGGGCCACCAUGUGAGUGUUGGGAAUUAGUGUUCUUAACUGGUCUCUUUAACCUAAUAAAAUUUAUUUUUUUUG